rnacentral:rRNA from 1 species
AUGCCCAACAGGGCGCAAGCGCAGACCAAGGAGGAGGAAGGAAGUGGAGGUGAAAGUCAGGAGGAGUGGGAAUCGGAUGGCGAUGACGGUGAUGAAGAUGCAGGCUCCGAUGAGGAGGAGGAGGAAGAGGAAGAGGAAGUAGCGCCUUCUCGUUCUGAAAGAAGGUCUAAGCUUGCCCAUGACCCUGCUGUCGAGCGCGGCAAAGGGGCCGCGUCUGUUGUGCAAUUGACCAAGCGUCCUCGGACGACCUCUCCGGCGCCGACUGAGAAAGCGCCGAAGCAAUCUCGAGUGGUGCCGUCGAAGCCGACGAAGGCUCUACCGAAGAUGAAGAUGGUGAUUCCAACUAUUUCUGGGUAA